rnacentral:tRNA from 1 species
GGACGGGUGGCAGAGUGGUUUAAUGCGACGGUCUUGAAAACCGUUGAACCGCAAGGUUCCGUGAGUUCGAAUCUCACCCCGUCCA